rnacentral:rRNA from 1 species
CGGAUUAUUGGGCGUAAGAGCUCGUAGGCGGUUUGUCGCGUCUGCCGUGAAAGUCCGGGGCUCAACUCCGGAUCUGCGGUGGGUACGGGCAGACUAGAGUGAUGUAGGGGAGACUGGAAUUCCUGGUGUAGCGGUGAAAUGCGCAGAUAUCAGGAGGAACACCGAUGGCGAAGGCAGGUCUCUGGGCAUUAACUGACGCUGAGGAGCGAAAGCAUGGGGAGCGAACAGGAUUAGAUACCCUGGUAGUCCAUGCCGUAAACGUUGGGCACUAGGUGUGGGGGACAUUCCACGUUUUCCGCGCCGUAGCUAACGCAUUAAGUGCCCCGCCUGGGGAGUACGGCCGCAAGGCUAAAACUCAAAGGAAUUGACGGGGGCCCGCACAAGCGGCGGAGCAUGCGGAUUAAUUCGAUGCAACGCGAAGAACCUUACCAAGGCUUGACAUGAACCGGACCGCCGCAGAAAUGUGGUUUCCCCUUUGGGGCUGGUUUACAGGUGGUGCAUGGUUGUCGUCAGCUCGUGUCGUGAGAUGUUGGGUUAAGUCCCGCAACGAGCGCAACCCUCGUUCUAUGUUGCCAGCACGUGAUGGUGGGGACUCAUAGGAGACUGCCGGGGUCAACUCGGAGGAAGGUGGGGACGACGUCAAAUCAUCAUGCCCCUUAUGUCUUGGGCUUCACGCAUGCUACAAUGGCCGGUACAAAGGGUUGCGAUACUGUGAGGUGGAGCUAAUCCCAAAAAGCCGGUCUCAGUUCGGAUUGGGGUCUGCAACUCGACCCCAUGAAGUCGGAGUCGCUAGUAAUCGCAGAUCAGCAACGCUGCGGUGAAUACGUUCCCGGGCCUUGUACACACCGCCCGUCAAGUCACGAAAGUUGGUAACACCCGAAGCCGGUGGCCUAACCCCUUGUGGGA